AACGAACGCUGGCGGCAGGCCUAACACAUGCAAGUCGAGCGAGCAUUUCGGUGCUAGCGGCGGACGGGUGAGUCACGCGUGGGAACGUGCCCUUUUCUGCGGAAUAGUCCUGGGAAACUGGGGGUAAUACCGCAUACGCCCUUUUGGGGAAAGAUUUAUCGGAGAAGGAUCGGCCCGCGUUGGAUUAGGUAGUUCGUUUGGUAAUGGCCCACCAAGCCGACGAUCCAUAGCUGGGUUGAGAGGAUGAUCAGCCACACUGGGACUGAGACACGGCCCAGACUCCUACGGGAGGCAGCAGUGGGGAAUCUUAGACAAUGGGGGCAACCCUGAUCGAGCCAUGCCGCGUGAGUGAUGAAGGCCGUAGGGUUGUAAAGCUCUUUCAGCUGGGAAGAUAAUGACGGUACCAGCAGAAGAAGCCCCGGCUAACUCCGUG
rnacentral:rRNA from 1 species